CUCCGUCCCAAAAUUCUUGUCUUAGAUUUGUCUAGAUACGGAUGUAUCAAGUCACAUUUUAGUAUUAGAUACAUCCGUAUCUAGACAAAUCUAAGACAAGAAAUUUGGGACAAAG
rnacentral:pre_miRNA from 1 species